GGAUCUGUGGACACACGCUAUAAAGCACCCCCCCCCCUGCUUUCAGAACUCUGACACGUCGUUCUCAGCAGCUGAAGCCAUGUGCUGUGACUAUCUUUGGAGCCUCCCCAGCCCUGUUUAGUGCACAGCUGAACUGUAACUGUUGCAAACAUCUGGAGUGGAUGAGAUGGGAAAGGAGACCCGCAGUGAUUGUGGAUUCUGGGGAAGAUGGACCAGUGGUGGUGUGGUAGAUAGGUUGGGAAUCUUUUCAAAAUACAGCAAGAGGACACUGAUGAAGACUGUUGCAGGUCUAACUCUUCAGCCUGGCUUCAGAGGAGGGAUGGAGCCCAGUGUAUAGCAGCAGAAGUAGAAGAUGCAGAAGAAGCAGAUGUGAACCGUGCUACACGUACCAACCAGGGCAAAGCUACUAGAACUUUCUCAACACCUGUUUCCUCAUAAUAACAGGGGAAUAAUUAAACCCAGCAUGGCAGGUUUGAGGAAUCCCACAUGCUGAUGUCUUUAAAGCACACAGCAGAGGCAUCUGGAAGGCUUCACGCAGACAUGUUCCUCAUGUGCCAGGUGCUCAGAAGAGCAACUACUUAUUGCCCGUAGUCCUGUGGCCAGUGUGACUUCUAUGCUUCAAAUUCCUUCCUACAAGGCUUGAAUAAUAAUAAAAAGACCAAAGACACCAGUUUUGAGGUCUUAAUAUAAAA
rnacentral:lncRNA from 1 species